AACGUGGACUCCAACGUCAAAGGGCGAAAAACCGUCUAUCAGGGCGAUGGCCCACUACGUGAACCAUCACCCUAAUCAAGUUUUUUGGGGUCGAGGUGCCGUAAAGCACUAAAUCGGAACCCUAAAGGGAGCCCCCGAUUUAGAGCUUGACGGGGAAAGCCGGCGAACGUGGCGAGAAAGGAAGGGAAGAAAGCGAAAGGAGCGGGCGCUAGGGCGCUGGCAAGUGUAGCGGUCACGCUGCGCGUAACCACCACACCCGCCGCGCUUAAUGCGCCGCUACAGGGCGCGUCCAUUCGCCAUUCAGGCUGCGCAACUGUUGGGAAGGGCGAUCGGUGCGGGCCUCUUCGCUAUUACGCCAGCUGGCGAAAGGGGGAUGUGCUGCAAGGCGAUUAAGUUGGGUAACGCCAGGGUUUUCCCAGUCACGACGUUGUAAAACGACGGCCAGUGAAUUGUAAUACGACUCACUAUAGGGCGAAUUGGGCCCUCUAGAUGCAUGCUCGAGCGGCCGCCAGUGUGAUGGAUAUCUGCAGAAUUCGCCCU
rnacentral:rRNA from 1 species